UACGGAGGAUCCGAGCGUUAUCCGGAUUUAUUGGGUUUAAAGGGAGCGUAGGUGGAUUGUUAAGUCAGUUGUGAAAGUUUGCGGCUCAACCGUAAAAUUGCAGUUGAAACUGGCAGUCUUGAGUACAGUAGAGGUGGGCGGAAUUCGUGGUGUAGCGGUGAAAUGCUUAGAUAUCACGAAGAACUCCGAUUGCGAAGGCAGCUCACUAGACUGCAACUGGCACUGAUGCUCGAAAGUGUGGGUAUCAAACAGG
rnacentral:rRNA from 1 species